AGUCUAAGAGUACACACGAGAAGGAGAAUGUGAAUAAACUGAGAGUGCCGUUACAGAAAUGCGAAUAAAAGAAAGGAGAUCAAUGUUUCUGGAAUUUAUAUCAAGAACUUAUCAGGAUCUUAUACGGUGCUGAGAGGGCUUCAUGUCUUAUUUAUACUAUGAAAAAUUACGGAUAAUGAAAUCGGUGUUGGAGAGGGAACAUUGAAGUUGACGUAAUGGGUUUAGUGGCGGAGGAUGUUAAUGUAAUCGCUUUAAGGCGUGAAUCAAUUUGAAGCAGUAACGUUCGGCGGAUGAAGACUCAUCCGGCACAACAAAAUAGGGCUAUUGAGAAGACGAAGACUCGGAGUGCAGAGGUGGGCCCUUAAUGGGUUGACCAUAAAGUUCCAACCAUUUUAAACUCGUCAACGAAAUAGAAGAGCUUAAAAGAAACGCUGACGUGUCACGAUUUUCUCUCCUCUCCAGAGUGACGUGGACAGCCUAAAAAGUCAGAUACUUCAACAUUAUCAAUACAAUACUAAAAUGGGAAUACCCUGAAUAGUUAGAGUGUCCACGUCGACAGUAAAAAUCAACCAAUAGGAGAAGAGCUUUCCGCCACAUCAGAUGCUCACUUCUGUCAUUUGGGCUUCGCGUUUCACCGGCCCGUUAACGUUCAGAAUUGAGAACCAAACUCUGUGUUUCCUGUUAUGUCUGAAUCGUCUUCUUCUUCAACGAUCCGCCGUCCCCUUCCUCUCAAUUUUCGACCUCUCCUAUGUCCUCAUCUAUGUCUCUUCCUUACCUUCCGUUCAACGUUUAUAUCUUAGUCUAUACAAAGAAUCUUCAGUUUACAUUUAAGGCAUUAACUCCCACAAACUCUCUGCCUCCCUCUUUAACAAUCAAAGCAUUAGCUUUGUGCGUAUCUAAUCCGAAAAAUAUCUCAAACACUAAAAAUAUGAGAGGAUUGAGAGUGGAAUCAAGUUUCACCAACACGCUCUCUCAGUUAUGUUCUCUGAAAAAACCCUAAAAUCUUUCUUCGAAUUGUCUUCGUGUGAUGAUGUUGUUGUCCAAUUAGCCAUCCGCCACUCAACCUUUAAUCACUCUCUUCUCUUUGAUUAAAAAGGUAUUGUCGUCUUACACUAUCAAGCAUCAUAUUUUUCGAUCUCUAUUUUUUUUUAGAAAGACUUAUGAAUUUACUCUUCCUGCAAAAAUCGUUGAUCCACAGAUCCAUUCCUGGAUUAGUGUUCAUUUUCCGGAAUCAAAACGCUUCUACAGUUUUUUUUUUAAUUUGUGAAAAUACUUCCACAUAUUAUAAUUUUUAUAUGUGUUGUUUCUUUCAAGCUGAAUAGAAGACAAAAAAAGACGAGAGGAUUCAGUACAACAAAUUAUUGCAACUUCUGCCACAUGAUCAGGUAAACAUCAUGAUAUUUUCAUGUAUGAUAACUCAGUUCUUUAUAAUUGUGGUAGUCUCUAAAUUUGGAUUACUAUGUCUCUCGCUAUAGUGAAGCAUAACACAUAUCUGAAUUUAUUUCUACGUUUGUUUCAAAGAAAAAAAGCAUUACUUGGGAGUCAUUCACCAGUAGUGUAAUCAAGCAACAAAUUUUGAAACUCUGAAGCUAGGCAACCCAUAUGGCUUUGGCUUUGUUUUUGUCUUAUAAUCUGGUGUUCUCUACAGCUCUGCUCGAAUCAGCUAAAUACAGCUAUGUCACAAAUUAAAGUGUUUAAUCAUGACAGGUCAGUCCCUAAUUUAAGCAUUUUCCUGAUGGUUUUGGUAUUUCUUACUUAAGAAAAAUAUGUUUGAGCACUUGCCCUUCCAAAAAGGUUGGAUGACUUCUUGAUUUCAGUUGUGCCGUGAGAUUUCAGCUCUGGCGUUUCUAAACUUGGUUGGAUCUUCUUCUCCUCCUACGAAGAUCUGUUGAGAAUUGAUUACGAGAUAUAAACCCUGCAAUCAAGAAAGAGUGAAGACAGUGAUCAGAAGAAGAACAACAACGAUACGAAGAAGAGAAUCAAAGUCUAAAGUGAAAGAGAAAGAAGAAGAUAAAGUCAACUUAGAGUCAAAGAAGGAGGCAGCCUUGCAUUACAUCUCUGAAGAGUCGUUAGUCAUCUUAAGAGGUUAGUUAAUAAUUUAACUGAGUGAGUAUAACUAGGAGAUGAACAGAGAGUCGUAUGAGAAGAGUUGUUAGAACAGUGUUUGAAUUGCUUGCAAGAUUUGUCUAAAAGCUAGAAGUAUUAUUAGGUGUAAGCAAGCAUAAUUAAAGUCAGUUAAUUAAUCUGCUAUAAAGAGCUAAGUAUUAUUUGUUGUUGUAGAAUGUGAGGAAAGCAAGGGAAAAGCAUGAUUGUUGCGGGGUUUUUUGAGUCGAAAAAGAAUCAUGGUAACGAACUGAUUGAAAAGUUGGAAGCUGGUAUGCAAGAUAUGCUACAGAUUGCCGAAGAUCGGAAGAGAGAUGUUGUUGCUCCUAAACUGAAAGAGAAUCUCCAAUAUGUUGGCGGGUGAGUUUACUCAAAAGUGUAAUGCACGAGAGACAAAAAAGCCAAUAUGGUUUUGGAUUAGUAAGGAAGCUGAUAUACUUGCUCAUUUAGACCCUUCUUGAUGACUGCAGCUGAGAUCUUCCUGUCAUGUGGCGCUCUGCAGAAUAGAGGAGGACAUGGUCGAGGGCUUCCUCUACGAAGUCCCUGAAGAGUAUAUAAACAUGCCUUUUCUCAAGAGAAGUGUACAUGAAGGCCAAGAUCAAGGACAAUCCCAACCUUGAGGAUUGUGUUUUCCACAUUGUCGUCGAUGGCUAUAACGCCCCUGUUACUGCCGGGAAUUUUGUGGACUUGGCGGAGCGCAAUUUCUACAAUGGCAUGGAGAUCCAGAAAUAUAUAUAUAUAUAUAUAUAUAUAUAUAUAUUGUAUAUGGGAAAUUUUUGUUAAUCAAUGGAUGAAGAUUUUUUGCAGCUGAUGAGUUUGUGGUACAAACAAGGGAUCCAGACAGUCAUGCGGAAGGAUUUAUAGAUCCAACCACAGAGAAGUAAGGACAGUUCCUCUUGAGAUUAUGGUGACUGGGAAAAAAACGCCAUUUUACGGCUCAACCCUAAAGUAAAAGCUUACACCCUUCUGACAGUAUAUUUAUUCAUAAUAAUAAUAAUAAAUUAUCAUUUGUUAAUUUGGUUGGACAGGUAUUGGGUCUGUACAAUGGCAAUGGCUAGAGAAGUGAGAGUUCUUACUCUUCCUUAACAUUUGAAUAUAUAUAUAUUCUAAUUAUAUGUAAUGCAAAAAAGGGGUUUGAGAAUGACUCAGAAUCGAGCCAAGUGUUUUGGCUGCUGACAGAGCGUGAGCUGACGCCAAGCAAUUCCAACAUCUUGGACGGUCGUUACGAUGUCUUCGGCGGCUACGUUACUCAUAAUGAAGAUUUUCUGGCUGAUCUUAAAGUCGAUAAUGUCACUGAGGUCAUUCAAGUUGUCUCCGGUUGAGAAGGAAUAUGUUCUUGCACAAAAGAAAACAGAAAAGCAACAUGGUACUGCUUUAUUUGUAUUAGAUAUAUAUUUCAGACAGUGUUAAAUUACAUUCGACAUCCAGUUUCGUGUUCUUCCCAUAGACAUCAUUCUCAGAGAUCCUACUACAUUCGAAACUUUUUUUCUUAUUAUUAUGGCUAGCACAUCUACCAUUCUUGCUGCUCUCAAAUAUGGACGCUGCUCAUCCACCGUGGAGGUGGAGGUGCGGCUUCUCCGGUUUUGGGAAGCCAGAAACAUUAAACGUGGUGGCCACUUCAUGGGAGUAGAUAUGCUUCUUCUGGAUUCUAAGUUGAUUCCGUUUUUUAAAUUCAUGUUCAUCAUAGUUUUGAACAGAUCUCCAAUAUUAAGAUUCAUGUUUAACAGUAUUAUGAUUUCAAUAUUAUUUAUUUCCUCUUCGUGAUUUGGUUUUGAAUCCAGUUUUAAAUUGUGUUCUUCUGUUUAUAAACGUUUUCAGGCGAUGCUCAUACCCGCCACCAUCAACGUGAACCGUCUUCCCACCUACCGGGGACACUUGAAGGUAGAUACCCGCUACAAGAUCGUUUAGGGUACUGUUAUACGAGCUGCAAAUCCAGCACAAACCUCGAGUUCAGAAGAUUCCUCACAAGAGCUAUCAAGUCCAGAAGAUUCCACCGAGUCGCAAGAUCUACCAAGUACGUCUUUGACAUCAGAAAAUAAUCUUGAGAAAGCAGAGUCUGCAACAAAAGCUCUUGCAGUGGCUGAUUCCAAAGUGUUCGAAGCCAAAGAGGCGUCUCAAGUUGCAGAUACGGCCCCAAAGAAGUCUCUGACCGAUGUAAUGUCCACCUACUCGACCACAUUAAUUAUCCUAAAUUGAUCAUCACUCAGCUCUUUUUUGAUUCGUUCCUUGCAGGUGCUAAAAGAUGAAAAUGUUGAACUAUGGUAGAGCUUUAUACCUUGUGGUCCGGUUCAAUGUAGAUGUAAAGGACUGUUUUUUUAAUAGGUUUUGGCUUUGAGAACAAAAAUAAAGAGUACAUGUAUAUGAGAUUUCAUUGACUAUUGACGUUGUCACUUUUUGGUUAGUUUUUGAUGUUAAGUACGGUUCUGGAUGUUAGUAGAUGUUUUUGCAAGUCAUACUGAGAAUUGUUAAUGCAUGAUUGUGUUUA